rnacentral:rRNA from 1 species
ACGAACGCUGGCGGCAUGCCUAACACAUGCAAGUCGAACGAGAUCUUCGGAUCUAGUGGCGCACGGGUGCGUAACGCGUGGGAAUCUGCCCCUUGCUUCGGAAUAACAGUGAGCAAUUACUGCUAAUACCGGAUGAUGUCUCCGGACCAAAGAUUUAUCGGCAAGGGAUGAGCCCGCGUAGGAUUAGGUAGUUGGUGGGGUAAUGGCCUACCAAGCCGACGAUCCUUAGCUGGUCUGAGAGGAUGAUCAGCCACACUGGGACUGAGACACGGCCCAGACUCCUACGGGAGGCAGCAGUGGGGAAUAUUGGACAAUGGGCGAAAGCCUGAUCCAGCAAUGCCGCGUGAGUGAUGAAGGCCUUAGGGUUGUAAAGCUCUUUUACCAGGGAUGAUAAUGACAGUACCUGGAGAAUAAGCUCCGGCUAACUCCGUG